ACCUGUAGGCAUACCACUUCGAAACCGCGCCAUCCUGUCUGUUCUGACAAAUUAAGCAGCGUUGGGCCUAGUUAGUACUGGGAGUGGAGACGGAAUGAGAAUCGCAGGUGUCAUAAUCU
rnacentral:rRNA from 1 species